AUGCAUAAAUGACAUCACUUAUGCCAUCUGCUUCACUUUUAAAGUAGGAAACAACACAUUAUUCUGAAAUACUGCAUACAGUCAUACAGUGAGGACAGAUGACCGUCCCAGGCACCAAAAUGGCACAGUGAGUUCUGCCACCGUGAGCAAAACUGAUCUCACCAGGUCUGGAAGGCUCAUCAUGGUUCCAUGGAUCAAAGGCACCCUGGAUGCUCUGGACCUGUGCAAUUGAUCCUGACUUCAGGCUGAUUAUAGUGAGGUACUCCAGGGUUUGAACAUACUGAAAGACCAGCACACUCCUUAAUUAUAUUAUUCUACAUAAUCAUAUUAUGUAGCAAUUUUCAUCCAGUUAAAAUAUUCUUUACUUGAGGAAGUCUUCUUAAGGAUUAGGAGGCCUUAAGUGGAAACAUUGCUUCCAGAAAUGUUGAAGAGACUUCGGAAGCAAACUCGGAAGUCUCAAGAAGCUCCUGAAUCUGACAAGGCUCCGUUCCCCCUGCUUAGAGCAACCUGUGGAUCCUGAGAGAGGAAGCGAGGCCGGGAGGCUGGAGCGAAAGAGACUGAACAAACAGCAAUUGAGCAAGGCACAAACAGACUCUUGAGGCCGGUUCAGUGAGACAGCUCCUUCAAUGGGAGGAACAAAGGCUUUGAGGGUGAGGAGCGGCU